ACUCAAAUGAAUAGACGGGGACUUGCACAAGCGGUGGAUUAUGCGGUUCAAUUCGAUGGCAAACGAAAAACCUUACCAAGGUUAGAAAUUCAAGGGAAGAAUACAGAAAUGUAAACGUCUCUAAAAGGACUCUUGAACAGGUGAUGCAUGGCCGUCGUCAGUUCGUGAUUUGAAUUGUUCCCUUAAGUGGGGUAACGAACGCAACCCUUGUUGUGUGUUAUAAGUAUCACACGAGACCGCCCCCCACUAAUUUUUUAGACUGUUUGAAAAAUUAGUGGGGGGAGGAAGCGAGGAUGACGCCAGGUCAGCAUGUCCCUCUGACACCUUGGGCUACACGCAUAAUACAAUGGCCGGUACAACAGGUCGCGACGGGGUAACCCUGAGCCAAUCCUUAGAAAGCCGGCCCCAGUUCGGAUUGAGGGCUGCAACUCGACCUCAUGAAGUUGGAAUCGCUAGUAAUCGCAGGUCAGCUAUACUGCGGUGAAUACGUUCUCAAGUCUUGUACACACCGCCCGU
rnacentral:rRNA from 1 species